GAUGAACGCUGGCGGCGUGCCUAAUACAUGCAAGUCGAGCGAACAGACGAGGAGCUUGCUCCUCUGACGUUAGCGGCGGACGGGUGAGUAACACGUGGAUAACCUACCUAUAAGACUGGGAUAACUUCGGGAAACCGGAGCUAAUACCGGAUAAUAUAUUGAACCGCAUGGUUCAAUAGUGAAAGACGGUUUUGCUGUCACUUAUAGAUGGAUCUGCGCCGCAUUAGCUAGUUGGUAAGGUAACGGCUUACCAAGGCAACGAUGCGUAGCCGACCUGAGAGGGUGAUCGGCCACACUGGAACUGAGACACGGUCCAGACUCCUACGGGAGGCAGCAGUAGGGAAUCUUCCGCAAUGGGCGAAAGCCUGACGGAGCAACGCCGCGUGAGUGAUGAAGGUCUUCGGAUCGUAAAACUCUAUUAUUAGGGAAGAACAAAUGUGUAAGUAACUAUGCACGUCUUGACGGUACCUAAUCAGAAAGCCACGGCUAACUACGUG
rnacentral:rRNA from 1 species